rnacentral:rRNA from 1 species
UAUAGUGAACGACACUUGCACAUGGGUUAGUCGAUCCUAAGGGUCAGGAGAACCCCGACAGAUAGCGCGUGUCGCGCGUACUCCGAAAGAGAAUCGGGUUAAAAUUCUUGAACCGAGAUGUAACAGUGACGACAACAUUAAGAAGUCCGGAGACGUCGGGGGGCCUUGGGAAGAGUUAUCUUUUCUGUUUAACAGUCUGUCCACCCUGGAAACGACUCAGUCGAAGGUAGGGUCCAGCGGUUGGAAGAACACCACACUUCGCGUGGUGUUCGGUGCGUCCCGGGUGAAGUUCUUGUGCAUAUUUUUUUUUUCUUUUUGGCAGCUUGUGGAUUCACUUGUUUGUA